AGUAGCGCACUGGUGAGUAACACGUGGGAACGUACCUUUUGGUGGGGAACAACAGUUGGAAACGACUGCUAAUACCGCAUAAGCCCUGAGGGGGAAAGAUUUAUCGCCGAAAGAACGGCCCGCAGAAGAUUAGGUAGUUGGUGGGGUAACGGCCUACCAAGCCGACGAUCUAUAGCUGGUCUGAGAGGACGAUCAGCCACAUUGGAACUGAGACACGGUCCAAACUCCUACGGGAGGCAGCAGUGAGGAAUAUUGGGCAAUGGAGGCAACUCUGACCCAGCCAUGCCGCGUGAGCGAAGAAGGUUUUCGGAUUGUAAAGCUCUUUCGGGUGUGACGAUGAUGACGGUAGCACCUAAAGAAGCCCCGGCUAACUUCGUGCCAGCAGCCGCGGUAAUACGAAGGGGGCAAGCGUUGUUCGGAAUUACUGGGCGUAAAGGGAGUGUAGGCGGUUAUGUAAGAUAGUGGUGAAAUCCCAGAGCUUAACUUUGGAAUUGCCAUUAUGACUAUGUGGCUAGAAUUACAGAGAGGAUAGUGGAAUACCCAGUGUAGAGGUGAAAUUCGUAGAUAUUGGGUAGAACACCAGUGGCGAAGGCG
rnacentral:rRNA from 1 species